UGAUGGUGGUGAUGAUGACGACAGUUGUCUCAACCCUGAAACAGUCCAUGUGGGUUCUUAGUCACUACCUCAUCUGAACAGUCA
rnacentral:snoRNA from 1 species